UGUAGUUAUUCAAGGGAUAUGGCCCCAACUCUUCCCAUCCGAACAGAGUCUUGAAACAUAUUACCGCUGAUGAUACUAGAAUGCAGAUUCUGGGGAAAGUAAGCAAUAGCCGCAC
rnacentral:rRNA from 1 species